AUGAUUUUCACGCACAGCUUUUUAUUACAGUUCACCGAACAUUUCGUAAAAAGCAAAACAAACAAACUAACAAGGAAGCAAAACGUGUUAGUAAGCAGUUUAAACAGUCGGUGUUUCGAAAAAUAAAUACAUUUACUUAAUUGAGGAAGAAGUUACCAUAGAGACAUGGAGUCAGGCUUUUAUGUGAUACUAUUACUUCUGAUAUUUUUGAAGUUGAUGAUAUGGGUAUGUGUGUUCUACUCGCGUGCACGUAGGAGGCAGAUUGUUACUCAAAGAGGGCUCAUCAUUGUGCACGGAGAUGUUUUGGGGGGCCAUACAAGGGAUAGAGACAUGAUUAUACAUGGCGAGCAUCCACCUGCGAUGUCACAAUUUGGUUUAGACAAUCCAGCCAUUGUUGCAAAUCCACCGUCAUACGAAGAAGUUCAACGAACAAAAUCCAGCGAGGAAAAACCACCUUCAUAUGAUCAGGUUGUUUGCGGAAAUACAUUUUCACCAAUCAGUGGUAACAUAAUUGAACAGCCACCACAGUACAGCCCUGUAUCAUCCAAUUUGCAGCAGACGACAGUCAAUGCUGGGCAGGCGACAACAGCACAAUCCAACACAAAUGCAUAGGUGUUCUAAUUUUGUUGCAUUUUUUUCCCCUCGUGUCAGAAAUAAAAAUAAGCUUAACUCAUACUAAGAUAUUAAUUAAUUGUUUAAAAUGAUAAAAAAUCAGUUGUGCAAGUUAUAAAUUCAAAAUAUACUUGUGAAUGGAUGUUCAUAAUAAUAAACAAUAAAUAAUGUACAUGUGCAAUCAGAAUUAGGUACACAACUUGGUGUUCUUUUUAAUUUUGUAGCAAUUCCUGUGGAAUAACAGGGUAAUACAUGUAAAUGUAUGCCAAACUUGUUUUGAUAUCAUACUUCAAAUCACUUGCACAUAAUGGCUUUAGGUUUGAAUCCCAUUGGUGUCCUACACCAAUAAAAAUAUUUAAGUUGUCAAAUGACCUAGUGUCAUCAGAAUAUCUCUGUGAGUUAAAGUUCAGUAAAAUUAUCGGUGCCUUGAAAGAACAUCAACUGCUGAUCAUAAGGUCAGUCUGUGACUGUGUGGAUAGAUUAUCAGAGCAACGAUUAUUUUAAUUGAAUCUUACAUAGCAAACAUAUAUACAUGUCGUUUGUUAUUAUAUUAAGUUGAAUAUACUUCAAAUGUUGUGAAUAAUGAGGCUCAAGCUCAUAUUGUGUUCAAAUAUUUUUUAUAAGGUAUACUUUUGUGUAUAUCAUGAUAAAUAAAACGCAGCUUAUAUUUGAAAGCAUUAUAUAAAUUCAUUUCAAUUCAAAUCGGUGUGCUCACAUAAAGUAGUACAAUAUUUUUUUUUUUUUAAAUAUGCUUGUACAAUUUUUUCAUUUUAUAGUAAAUUUCAAACCAGUAUGAUAUUUCAGUAUGUUUCAGUUACUAGUAUUCAGUUUUAGUUAGCUGCACAUGUACUUUUAAUCAGUUAUUUCUAAUUGUAAAUUCAUUCAUGCUUUGUGUAAACCAUUUUUUUUAUUCUGCUUUAUUGAUUUUAUGUAAAUGGCAAGAUUUUGGUAUUGUAUGGUUAAAAGUUGCUUUUUAUUAAAAAAUCUAUGCUUUUGUAAACCUCACAUUUUCGGCAAAUCCAAAAAUGGCAAGUUUUUUUUUUAAACAUAUAUUCAUUAGGGGAUGGGUUAGAGAUGAGCCACUCCCAUUUAGUUAUACUUUUGAAUGUGUAAGUGGAAGAAUCACUUUAGUUUACACCCAGUAGAUUUUUUUUCUUUCAUUUGUGUAAUUUUACAUUUUGCAUUGUUCUCAUGCAUAAUCAUUAUGGUACAUUUGUAUCUAAACUGAUUUUGUUUUUUUCCCUUCAAUAACUGUUACAUCAACACAUCUUAUAUAGUUUCAAUUUGAUUUAGAAAAUCAGAAUACUGAUGGCACAAAGCCUGUAGUUUUAUUUGAGUAUUAUUAUUUGUGAUAUUUUUUAACUUGAUAAAAUCCUUAAACCUUUAACCUGCUGGAGCUGAAAGUGAUAAGCUCUUUGCCACCAGUAUAGAGCCCAUGUCAGCUGGCAUAUAUGUGCAUUCUGACCAGGCUCUAUACUGUUGGUAGCUCAAUUUUUGUAUUUUGAUAUUGAAAUCCCUAAAACUUUAAAUGGACUGUUCCAAAUUCAAAGUAGGGUAAUUUCCAUUACAUAAAUACAGCAGGUUAAAUGUUAAAAAAAACCAAGAAGUAACAGGCCAAAUAAUACACCAAAAGGAUAGUCUUUUCAUCUUAAAAGUAUUUUAUUACUUAAGUAUUAUUUUCAGCAUAAUUUAUUUUAACCACAUGUUGAUAUUCUGUCAAGUUUUUACAGACUGUUCUGAAAUAGAUAACAUAUUCAAACAAAGUGAUUCCUACUAAAACAUUUAUUGUGUAUGUUACAGCUUUGUAAUAAAAUUCUUGCCGCACAUUUUAAAAAUGCCAUCUACUUAGAGCAGUUACGUGCUAUAGCAGUUACUGCUAUUAAAAUUAAUAAGGAGUUAACCCAUUACUGCAGUAAGGAUAAGGAAUCAUGAUUUCUGAAUCAUAUUUUAAGUGCCUUAGAUAAAUUUCCAUAUGUACUGCAUGUUCUUCUGUGAUAAGAUAUUAAUAAACUUUUAUAUUUUUUAUUUUGUUAAGUAGGGGAUAUUUUAGCUAAAUAUCUGUGUUGCUUGUUAGAAAAAGCCAUUGUUAGAUUGUCUUUGUGAAUCUUUUAUUGGGAUUGUUUUAUAAGAACACUAGUGUUCCUUGUUGAAGAAUUUAAGCUGUUCGUUUAUUGUCACGAGAGGCUGGCCUCUAAGUUAAUAAUACAAUUAUGUAACCCUGUCCCAGCAUAUGAUAUGGGUUUACCCGUCUAUUAUAUUGUAUGGCAAAGAUACCUUAUUUUGGUCUGAUUUGAGAUAAAGUGUUAUGUUUUGAAGAAAAAAAAAGUUAAUUAUUAAUAUAAAAUAUGUUCAUAUUCCCAAAAAUAGCUUCUAUAGUUUCUGUUAUCAGCUUGUUAUAUUCUUAAUUUUUUUUAGAAAAUUAUUUGCAAAAGUGUGAUAAUUGCUGUGGCAGCAAAAGGGUUAGUAAGGUUUUUAUUUAACUUAUAAUGAAAAAUGGCUUGAAAGGAGAAUUGGAUUAAUUGACAUGUUAAUAUAAAAUAUUUGCACCUCAACCUUUCAGCCCUUACUAUAGCAAUUUUUUCACUGAUUUGAUAUCACAUAUUCUUCUUCUAGAUUAUUUAUUAUAUUGAUUGUGUGAAAUAUUAAAGGAUGUAGUGGUAACAUUUAAGUAAGUUAGUGUGAUCAAGCCUAUUUUGAAGGAGCCAGUUGAUUAAAUGUUGCAUAGUUUAGCUUUGAGCACUGCUAGGGUUAUACAAGUUGAGAAAUCUAUUUACUGCAUUUAAAAAAAUCACAGGUUUAAAUGUAGUGGCCAUGCAUGCUUAAUUCAACAUUGUAAUGGAUGAUAAUUAAGGUAAUUAUUUAGUUAUCAUAUAGUUAUAAGUGUGUAAAAUGUAGAAUAUAAACAAAAACCAAAUGAUAAUUAUGCAUAAUAUAAAGUUAAAGGACCGUCAUAGAAAUGUAGGAAAUUAAGAUUAUCAUAAACUGAAAGUAACCCAAACAAGUUAGUAACUUAUGAAAGAGUGUGAAUAUUCAAACACACAUACUGAUCUAAAUUGUCAUUAGAAUUUAAUUUAUUAGUUAUUACAUAGUGUCAUUUUGUCCUAAUCAAAAUUUCCAGAGUUAUAGUAUACAUUUGUUUAUGUAUUUUAUUGUAUUUUAAUGUAUUGAAUUACUUUAAUUUUGCUUGUUACAUCUUGUAUUAUUAUGUAUUUUGCCCUAGUGAUAUAACCAUGUACAUGUACAAGUAUCUCCUCUUGCAUCAUCAUACAUUUUACCCUUAAAGCACAGGUUUAAGGGACCAGAUAUUCAUGUUAAUAAUAACAAAUUUUACAACUGUAAAGUAGGGGAUUUUUUUUAUUAUACCCCCACAAACGAAGUUUAGGGGGAGUAUAUAGGAGUCAGCUUGUCGGUCUGUUGGUUGGUCGGUCGGUCCACAUCAUGGUUUCCGGACGAUAACUAGAGUUUGGAAUGAGGUAUUGUAAUCAAACUUGGUAUAUAACAACCUUAUGUGGAAACUCUGGUUAGUAUUUCAUUUGGACCCUCUGGGGUCAAGGUCACCGUUACUAAAAAUAGAAAAAUGGUUUCCGGACAAUAACUAGAGUUAGGAAUGAGAUAUUGUUAUCAAACUUGGUGUAUAGCAAGCUUAUAUGAAGACCUGGGUUGGUAUAGCAUUUGGGCCCCCUGGGGUCAAGGUCACCAUUACUAAUAAUAGAAAAAUGGUUUCCGGACAAUAACUUGACUUAGGAAUGAAAUAUUGUUAUUAAACUUGGCGUAUAGCAAGCUUAUGUGAAGACCUUGGUUGGUAUUGCAUUUGGGCCCCCUGGGGUCAAGGUCACCGUAAGGAGAAAUAGAAAAGUGGUGUUCGGUCAAUAACUAGAGUUAGGAAUGAGAUAUUGUAAUCUAAUUUGGUGUAAACGAAGCUUAUAUGAAGACCUGGGUUGGUAUUGCAUUUGGAACCCCUAGGGUCAAGGUCACCGUUAGAGUGUUACUAAAAAUAGAAAAAUGGUUUCCGGACAAUAACUAGAGUUAGGAUUGAGAUAUUGUUAACUAAUUUGGUGUAAAAAAAGCUUAUAUGAAGACCUGGGUUGGUAUUGCAUUUGGACCCCAUAGGGUCAAGGUCACCGUUACAGUGUUACUAAAAAUAGAAAAAUGGUUUCCGGACAAUAACUAGAGUUAGGAAUGAGAUAUUGUUAUCAAACUUGGCGUAUAGCAAGCUUAUAUGAAGACCUUGAUUGGUAUUGCAUUUGGGCCCCCUGGUGUCAAGGUCACCGUUACGAAAAAUGGCGUUCGGACAAUAACUAGAGUUAGGAAUCUUAUUUGGUGUAUAGGAAGCUUAUAUGAAGACUUGGGUCAAGGUCACCAUUACAGUGUUACUAAAAAUAGAAAAAUGGUUUCCAGACAAUAACUAGAGUUAGGAAUGAGAUAUUGUAAUCAAACUUGGUGUAUAGCAAGCUUAUUUCGAGACCCCAGUUGCAAUUACAAUUAAUUGAAAUAUUUCUUUGUACACAGUUGAUAGUUUGUGUUCAAAUUUUCUUUCAAAAAGUCAAAGUUGCUGGUGGGGGUAUUAAUCACCUUCAGUGAUAAGUCUAGUUUUUACAGGAUUUCACAAAUGAUCAACAUUUGGCUGUUUUCCUUUUGUUCAGUAUAGAAAACCUUGUCCUAGAAUGUAAGUAAUAGCACUAUGUAAAUUUUCUUGCUCAAGGAAAAAAUUGCUUGACCCUGACAUGGUUUGAACCCAUGUCACCUGGCCAUGUCACCAUUAAAACAUAAUGUUGCUAUCAAAGAUUGAAGAUAUUUUGACCUGAUUGGAUACUUUUAAAUCCAAAUUCUUAAUUGACAGAUGUUUGUAUAUGUAUUGUAAUUUUUAUAUAUUUGGUGCACAUCAUUUGAGUACUAAGUAAUAUGAUCUCACAUGAAAAGGAAUUAAAGAAAUUGUAACAAAGUAAGCCUUUGGCAAACUUUAAUAACAUUUUCUUGAAAAAAUACUAUAUGACAACAAAUUUAAGAUUAAAUAGAGGAUAUUGAAUGAGUGCAAGUUCAAUACUGAAUUUAUUGCACGAGUUGAAUAAAAUUAUAUUAUGCGAGCCUCUGGCGAGCAUAGUAUUAUUUUAUUCAACGAGUGCAAUAAAUGCAGUAAUGAACUUACACGAAUUUAAUAUUCUAUUUAUCACAUACCAAAAAUAAAGACCGUUUAAAGUGAAAUAAGAGUCAUUUUUUAUUGACGCGACUACAGUAUAACGCAAACAUUUAGCGCGUCUUUACACUAUGUUUGUAUAACGUCAAAAUAUAUGCACAGCCGUGCAAUACCAUAUUUACGGAGUCGCAUAAUCGGCACGGGUGUGCGAUAAAUAAUGUUAUUGAAUACCUAGCGCCAUAAUGAAAUAGGGCUUUUAUCAUAAUUAGAAUUUUUACAAAUAUUUUUCGUCACUAAAUAUUCACAUUUCUUCGUGCCAAGUGGAGCCAGUUAAAGUGUUAAAGAUACUGUAUCAGGUGUUCAACUGAUUUUUUGGCUGUUUUCAGAGCAACACCUUUUGUGGGUCAGAGAUUUUGGCUGUUACUGUGAGGUGUUGCUUUAAUGAGGUAAAAUCUGUUGCCAAGUCUUAGUUUGUGAAGGAUUAUUCCUGUUGUUGUACAAAAGUUAUUGCUGUACAGAGGUGGCCAUUUCUUACAGGUGAUAGCACCUACUGUUAAAAUACUUCAUAUCAGAUUUCAUCUUUAAUUCAGCAAAGUAUUUCAUUGUCUAGUUCAGAAUUUUAAUACAUGCAUAAAAAAUUAAUAUUAUAAUUAUUAAAGUAUUUAAUACAGGAAAUGCAUUUAACAUACAAAAUGUAUUAUCAUCUUAGCUUAGUUCAAGCACUUGCUUUUUUUUUUUCAAGAGAAUAGAUUUAAUUUAGAGAGUAACAUGUUCUGGAAAUGUUGUUUUGAGUUGUGACUUUUUGCAGCAGAAGAAUACAAUGAAACACUUGUAAUUAACCCCUACCGUGCUGGAACCAAAAGUAAUAAUCCUUUGCCACCAGUAUAGGACCAGGCCAGUCUUCAAAUAUACUAUGACAAGGCUGUAUACUGUCCAUAGCUCAGUCCUUAAAUUUUGAAUAGACUGCCGGUAUUGUAUUUCAAAUUCAAAGCAGGACAAUCCAUUUGUGUCACUACACAAUUUCAGCAGACUAAGGGUUAAUAAAAAAAUAAAAUCUAACUUAAUUUGGCAUAUUACUAUGUAUGUAAGUGGAAGUAACAUAACAAUUAAUUAAUGUAAAACUAAAUUCUGCUUAUUUGUUUAUUAAUCUUUAUGCUUAAGCAGCAUGCCUCCAGAUUCAUGCUAAUUUUCAUGAAAAUGUUGAAAUGUAUAAAAAAAAUAACAUAUUGUGAAGUGAAUAGCAUUUACAACCCAUGUCAAUAACCAAAAAGAGGUAAAAAAAUUCGGUCAUUAAUUAUAAGAAACAUGAAAGUUAUUACUCAAGUCAUUACACUCUUCUUAAAAUCUCAUAAAUCUCGGUAAAUUUAACUCAAGUUUGUCUUGAAAUAUUUUAGCUCAUCUGGAGGCAUGCAGCUUUAACAUUGAGUGUUCUAAUAUUUUAUACGACAUUACAAGGGUGAUGUUCAUGUAUGUAAAACAACUUUGUUUUAAUUUCUAGUUUUUUAAUCAAGAAUACAAUGUUACAUAUAUACCUUAUAGUCAAGAAGCUUUGUUCAAAUAUUGUGCUAAUUUAUAAUUUCUUUUACCAAUAACUUUUAACAUUAUAUGAUUAAAGGCUAAUACAACAA